GCGGACGUGGCGGAAUUGGCAGACGCGCAGGAUUUAGGUUCCUGUGCCGAAAGGCGUGCGGGUUCGACUCCCGCCGUCCGCA
rnacentral:tRNA from 1 species